ACGCGAGCUGGUUUCAGAACGUCCUGAGACAGUUCGGUCCCUAUCCGUCGCAGGCGUAGGAAAUUUGAGAAGACCUGUCCUUAGUACGAGAGGACCGGGAUGGACGUACCUCUGGUGUACCAGUUGUCCUGCCAAGGGCAUGGCUGGGUAGCUAUGUACGGAAUGGAUAAGCGCUGAAAGCAUCUAAGCGCGAAGCCAACUUCAAGAUAAGAUUUCCCACCGCAAGGGUAAGACCCCAGAAAGACUAUCUGGUUGAUAGGUCGAAGGUGUAAGUGCAGCAAUGUAUUUAGCUUAUCGAUACUAAUAGGUCGAGGACUUGACCAAU
rnacentral:rRNA from 1 species